rnacentral:rRNA from 1 species
UACGUAGGGACCGAGCGUUGUCCGGAAUCAUUGGGCGUAAAGAGCGUGUAGGCGGCCCGAUAAGUCCGCCGUGAAAGUCCAGGGCUCAACCCUGGAAUGCCGGUGGAAACUGUCGGGCUGGAGUCCGGAAGAGGCGAGUGGAAUUCCUGGUGUAGCGGUGAAAUGCGCAGAUAUCAGGAGGAACACCAAUGGCGAAGGCAGCUCGCUGGGACGGUACUGACGCUGAGGCGCGAAAGCGUGGGGAGCAAACAGG